GAGAGAACCACCAAAAAAAGUCAGCUCUGCUUUUUCAGCAUUUUUUUUCCUUCAAUCUCAAUAAUAACUUGCCACUGCCACUAUUGCAUAACACCAUUAAUUAAUUUUCAUGUAUUUAGUAUCUUUCCUUGUGAUUGGCUAAAUCUAUGCAUAAGGGAUUAAAAUGCUUCACUUUAAGUCAAAUACAAGAAGUUUUUAUUUCAAAUAAAGAUAAUCAGAAUUCAUUGCAAGCAUUAGCAUUGUAUUGUUUCGCUUGUUUCUAGCAAAUUUGUGAAUUAGAUGUAAUUUGCUAGUCCAAAAAUGAAAAAUUUACAUCCAAAACGACCAUGGCCAUUAUAUUAUGUUUACAAUGUUCCUUUUCCACCAGACUCAGACCACAAAUUAAAAAUUAUUCUCCAUAGUGUCCAAACAGCAUCUUGCUAAAAACCUACAUUACCAAAAUGAGUAAAGUAGAGACAAGGGAUCUCCUAAUUUGAAGACCCUUGAAAAUUGAAGAAAUCAAUAAGGCAUUGAUAAAUAAAUGUUGAAAUAUCAGUUUAAUGAUAAAUUUCACAAUUCAUUCCCUUCCGUGACCCCCAAGGCCCAUCCCCUGAUCCUCUCUGA
rnacentral:misc_RNA from 1 species